rnacentral:rRNA from 1 species
CUACCCUUGACAUGCCACUAACGAAGCAGAGAUUUGGGAGUGCUCGAAAGAGAACCUGCACACAGGUGCUGCAUGGCUGUCGUCAGCUCGUGUCGUGAGAUGUUGGGUUAAGUCCCGCAACGAGCGCAACCCUUGCCAUUAGUUGCUACAUUCAGUUGAGCACUCUAAUGGGACUGCCGGUGACAAACCGGAGGAAGGUGGGGAUGACGUCAAGUCCUCAUGGCCCUUAUAGGUGGGGCUACACACGUCAUACAAUGGCUGGUACAAAGGGUUGCCAACCCGCGAGGGGGAGCUAAUCCCAUAAAGCCAGUCGUAGUCCGGAUCGCAGUCUGCAACUCGACUGCGUGAAGUCGGAAUCGCUAGUAAUCGUGGAUCAGAAUGUCACGGUGAAUACGUUCCC